rnacentral:lncRNA from 1 species
AAGAAACCUACAAAAUACCAGCCAAACCUUUCCUUUCUCCUUCGAAAAACCAUUAUAGCCAACUGAAAAGGAAAGCCAGCUUUGAAGAACGAACAUCGGAGAUUCAAAGAACCUUUUCCAAAACUUCAAAGCCCAUAGAACUCCUCAUCGCUGACGACUCCAAUCCAACCAGUCAUCUACCACCAAGAUUUUGACAGAACCUAGAGCCUUUUCAACCCAAAAGCAAGGUGAAAACUGUCUUCUCCCUUCCAACACCAAAGCAUGAGCCGCCCAAUUAGCAUUUCUUGGAUCAAAAUGGUAAUUCACCUCCUCUAGAUAGCCCUUAAGUAUCCG